rnacentral:rRNA from 1 species
UACAGAGGUCCCAAGCGUUGUUCGGAUUCACUGGGCGUAAAGGGUGCGUAGGUGGUCGAGUAAGUCUGAUGUGAAAUCUUCGAGCUCAACCCGAAAAUGGCAUUGGAUACUAUUCGGCUGGAGGGUUGGAAGGGGGACUGGAAUUCUCGGUGUAGCAGUGAAAUGCGUAGAUAUCGAGAGGAACACCGGUGGCGAAGGCGAGUCCCUGGACAAUCCCUGACACUGAGGCACGAAGGCCAGGGAGCAAACGGGAUUAGAAACCCGU